rnacentral:misc_RNA from 1 species
AAGAGAUAGGGUCUUCACAGGCCCGACCUCCAACCCUUUGUCUACCAAACCUCACGUUGCUUCGGCGGGUCCGUCUAACUGGACCGCCGGAGGGCUCUGACCCUCUGGUCCGUACCCGUCGGUGGCCAACCAACUAAACUCUGAAUGAAUCAUGUCUGAAAUACUUAUCCAAAUAAGUAA